CAAUCAAAAAGCUGUAAAUGUUUCCAGCUUUGUUGUAAAACAACCAUGACCAAAAUCACAUGCCUUUGUAGCUUAACAAUAACACUGGGACUUGAAGCUAUUACUGUGUAGCAGAGAUUCAAUGUGUCAGACUGCUAAGGAAACAGGAAAAAAACAUUCAGCAUGACUCUGAGGAGACUAAGAAACAUUAGUUAAAUAAAUGAUUUCAUAAAAAUACAUUUGACUGUGAUAAUCAUAGAAAAUUAAAGUGAUAUAUAUAUAUAUAUAAGGAGGGAAAUCCCUUCUGUUUGGCAAGAGAUUUUGGAGAUACCCAGUCUUCAGUGCAGCUAAGGCUUGGAUCUCUAGGUUUGCAGAAGUGGUUAGAUGGACACGCCCUGUCAGGGAUAUCAGUGCCAUAAUCUACAUUACCUGGUCCUUCAUGUAGAAGUGAUUUCUGUUUUUUCUCUACUUUUCUUCUCUUCUUGAGUCUUGAGCAGCUUUCAUAUUUAGAUCCUGCUCUCUCCACUGAGCUGGGCAGAGAAAGGAGAGGAAGACUUUAGUAUCCACAGGGUAAAAUUUCAUGUUGCAUUUUUUGCACAGCUUCAAGCAUGCAUUUAUGAAGAGGUGUAGCAAGUCUACAACUGGAUGUGGCUCCACCUUCCUGCUGAAGUACCAGGUGCUUCUCAGCGAGCUCUGGGUGCUGUGCAGGAAGGAUGAGGCGGUGUGCGGGCGGGAAGAUGAGGAGGAGGUUUUGGGCCUGAAAUGCACCAGCACCUUCAUCCUCGUGUGGCCCCCCAACCUCUGCGUGGUCACUUUUCGGUCGCAGGAGGUGAAGGAGCUGUGGCUCAACGCCCUCCUCAGGAGGCCCGGAGGCAGCAGAAGCGGGGCCGUUGCAGAGCAGUGCUGCCAGCCAGCGCUGCGGGAAGGUCUCCAGUGUCCGGGUGGCAGGGAGGUGCUGAGCUGGUGCCGGGGGAGUGAGCAGAGGGGGCUGGCUGUGACCGAGCUCUGCUUUCAUCCCUGCCCUGUGCCCAGGCAAAGCCGAGGAGCCCAGGAGACCCGGGUCACCCGACUCACCUCC
rnacentral:lncRNA from 1 species